CUGGUCACAUGACUUUACUGAAUUUUUAAAUGAAUUUUUCCGAGCAUAGUGAUAGAAAGUGAAGUCAAUAUAAAAUCGUUAUUGGAAAGUCUUUUCACAGUCACGACGAUGUCCAACCGAGGCGCGGACCACAAAACUGACGGAAGCGGUUCCGGUGGAAAACCUAAACCUUCAGAUGACACGCAAUUUAUACAUGAUCCCCGCCUCUGCAGCAAAUCCUCAUAAAUAUAGCACUCAGCACGUCAGCCCUGACCUCAAGUUGAAGAAAGAGAGAGAGAGCACUGUGGUUCAGCUGUCUGUGAAGCCACAGGAAGUACUUUGGUACCAUCUCUUCAUCUUCGGCCAGCACCAGGUCAUAAUCGCUCAGUGCC